CAGUCGCCGCGGGAAUACGUAGGGUGCAAGCGUUAAUCGGAAUUACUGGGCGUAAAGCGUGCGCAGGCGGUUAUAUAAGACAGAUGUGAAAUCCCCGGGCUCAACCUGGGAACUGCAUUUGUGACUGUAUAGCUAGAGUACGGCAGAGGGGGAUGGAAUUCCGCGUGUAGCAGUGAAAUGCGUAGAUAUGCGGAGGAACACCGAUGGCGAAGGCAAUCCCCUGGGCCUGUACUGACGCUCAUGCACGAAAGCGUGGGGAGCAAACAGGAUUAGAUACCCCCGUAGUCCCUGUCUCUUAUAA
rnacentral:rRNA from 1 species